rnacentral:rRNA from 1 species
UACGUAGGGACCGAGCGUUGUCCGGAAUCAUUGGGCGUAAAGAGCGCGUAGGCGGCUUGUUAAGUCUUGCGUGAAAUCUCGGGGCUCAACCCCGAGCGGUCGUGAGAAACUGGCAGGCUAGAGUGCGGGAGAGGAGAGUGGAAUUCCUGGUGUAGCGGUGAAAUGCGCAGAUAUCAGGAAGAACACCCGUGGCGAAGGCGGCUCUCUGGAACGCAACUGACGCUGAGACGCGAAAGCGUGGGGAGCAAACAGG